rnacentral:rRNA from 1 species
CCUACGGGGGGCUGCAGUCGAGAAUCUUUCGCAAUGGGCGAAAGCCUGACGGUGCGACGUCGCGUGGAGGAUGAAGGUCUUCGGAUUGUAAACUCCUGUCAUGAGGGAUAAAUGGCCGGGGCACGAAUAGUGCCUUGGAAUGAUAGUACCUCAGGAGGAAGAGACGGCUAACUCUGUGCCAGCAGCCGCGGUAAUACAGAGGUCUCGAGCGUUGUUCGGAUUUACUGGGCGUAAAGGGAGCGUAGGCGGUUCGGUGUGUUGAAUGUGAAAUCCCACAACUCAACUGUGGAAUGGCAUUCAAAACUACUGGGCUAGAGUACUGGAGAGGAGAGCGGAAUUCUUGGUGUAGCGGUGAAAUGCGUAGAUAUCAAGAGGAACACCGGUGGCGAAGGCGGCUCUCUGGACAGAUACUGACGCUGAGGCUCUAAAGUUAGGGGAGCAAACAGGAUUAGAUACCCCUGUAGUC